rnacentral:rRNA from 1 species
AACGAACGCUGGCGGCAUGCCUAACACAUGCAAGUCGAACGAGACCUUCGGGUCUAGUGGCGCACGGGUGCGUAACGCGUGGGAACCUGCCCUUAGGUUCGGAAUAACUCCCCGAAAGGGGUGCUAAUACCGGAUAAUGUCUUCGGACCAAAGAUUUAUCGCCUUUGGAUGGGCCCGCGUUGGAUUAGCUAGUUGGUAGGGUAAAAGCCUACCAAGGCGACGAUCCAUAGCUGGUCAGGGAGGAUGAUCAGCCACACUGGGACUGAGACACGGCCCAGACUCCUACGGGAGGCAGCAGUGGGGGAUAUUGGACAAUGGGCGAAAGCCUGAUCCAGCAAUGCCGCGUGAGUGAUGAAGGCCUUAGGGUUGUAAAGCUCUUUUACCCGGGAUGAUAAUGACAGUACCGGGAGAAUAAGCUCCGGCUAACUCCGUG